rnacentral:lncRNA from 1 species
CGUUGCAACAUCAAAGGGAAACAACUGCGUUUCCCUUUUUUCCUCCGUAACCACUCCGACACAAUCGGAGAGAGCGCGCGGAGAGGCGGCGUGGAGUUAGGUCUAGCGGGGAGGCGACGGCGGCGGCUGAGGCGGUUCCCACCGGCAGCGGCGGCGUUCGAGGCGGUGCCGGAGAAGCUAGAAGCUGUCGCAGCGGCUUCUCCAAUCGUCGCAUUCCCCUUUACGGCUCUACCCCCACCACACUCUCACCCCGCGGCUGCUUGUUGCUGCGGUUCCGACCAGCGGCGGCGGCGGCGGCGGCUGUCUCUAUCCUCGGCGGCGGCUUCUAGCUCCAUUCCCGGCGUCGAGGAUGCCUGA